CGCACCAUUUUUAUCAUCAAAGGAGUUAAUUUGGAAGAAGAUGCAGUGAAUAUUUUUAAAAACAGAUAUUGGUGUUUUUUUUUCCCAAGGACAGAACCUCUUUGGAGUGCGAAGGUUGGACGAAACCCUAAACUUCGUGAGAAGGCGAAGACAUUCAGAGUCGUUGCUAGGAAAAACCCAGUGAGUGGUGGCCAUAGCAGGUUGCUGACCACUACCACGGCUAACACUGGUGAAGUAACGAACCCAAAUUUACUUAAGUUCUAUGCCUUGGAAGCAUUUCAUUUGUGGCUGGACAUGAAAGCCCUUCAUUUCCAGGUUUCCAUUUUCUAUAAAUUUUGGUUGCCGUUAAAAUCUAGAACGUAUUUUCAAACUCGUGGCUUCUUUUCCACCCAUACACAUUUGGGGGUUUAGGCAGAGAACAGUAAGAUCGAUGGAGUUUGAAGAGGUAGGUGUGAGCAAGUAUUCCAAAUGUCCUGGUGCAAUGUGGUUGUGAUUUGAACUCCACGCAAAUAGAACAACAGUCUCUUCGGUGCGUUAUAUUCCACAUAUCGGCUGGGAUGGGCAAUCAUAGCUAUGGAUUAAAGGAGUUGUUGAAGGUCAAAUUCCAGAUGCAUGUGUUGAAUUUUGGAGAUAAAAUUGUGAUCUCUCCUUUAUUUCUACCAAUCCUACAAAGGUAUCAUGUUAAUUCCUACCUUGCAAGGAGCAGCAUGUGUGUGCCAGGAGCUUGCAGAUAUUUUCAACAUUGUUCGUCCAAAUAAAAAUGGAAUCUGCAUAGCAAGGUUAUAUGGAAUGUCGGGCCAGGGGAAAACUACAGUUGGAAAGACUUUUUGCAAUCAUAGUUUGUCAAAAUUUUAUGGCAAAGUAUGCUAUCUCGAAUUUUGUCGAGGUAAGAGAAUGCAGAAGCAAAAAAUCGCUCUGCAAUAUCUUCCUUAUUGCAAUAAGUCGCAUCUCAAAUCGCUGACAAUUGAGGAGGCGAGGAACUUCGUAUAUUUUCUAUCUUGUUUAGAAGUUGUUCUUCCUUUCGUGAUUGAAUUUUCUUAGCAUAAAAUGUGUAACUAUUAUGUAUUUUUUAAUACGAUUUACAAGUAUGCGAAAUGUUGUAUGAAAGAGUGAGGGGCCAAAAAGUAUUACUAGUUAUGGACAAUAUCACCAAAGACAACAUUGGGGAAGAAUAUUAUUAUCUAUUAUCUUGAGGCAGACUUGGGAGAAAACAACUAUGUCCUUUUGAGCUCACGAAGCGAAGAUGUUGUAGCACAUAAUUUCGAUAUCAAUUCUAAGUCAUCAGGAAUUAGGGGUGCAAAAUGUAAUAGUUUGGGACAGUGUUGUAUGAUUUUU